AAUGUUUUAUCAAUCUCCACGUUUUGCUUCUCUCUUUUCUGAAAAACUACCAAGAACCAAAACUUGACCUAAAAUCCAAGUUGCCACCGUUUCUCUUUUUCCGUCACCUAAAACUUCGAAAGGAACCAAAAAAUUUUCCACUUCCUAUCCUCUAGUCCAGUAUCAGUUUGAAGAGCACAAGGAUCCUCAGAAGCCUUUAAGCCAAAAGCCCCACCAAAAUUCUUUUGCUUAAACAUUUGUAUAUUGUUUGGGUUUGCUUUUGUUUGUUAGAGUUUCUGAUUUAGCUUCGGUGGCUGCUGUGUUUUUAGUUUCGGGAUUUUGGAUCUAUAGGUACGACAGCUACUGUGUUGGAGAUUGCUUGAGACUGAUCCUCGGCUCUGUUUCUGGAUUGGGUUUAUUGCUGGGAUUGUGUUUACUGGCUUUCGGUUUGGAAGCUAGUUGAAGUUUGUUGAAACUCUCUAUUUUUGCUUCUGUGCCGGUUGGAAAAUUGAACUACAUGUCUCUCUGUUUUGUUUGAUUCGUCUAUCCUUCUUGCGCUGCUGGUUCUGUCUUUGCCCGAAACUGCCUUUGUGCUAAAUGAUCUUGUUGCUUCUUUGAUUCUCGUCUGAUUGCUUGUUCCAUUUUUCUGUAUAUUGCUGCUGGUGUCCCACUUCUGAUUGUAGAUUUCAAGUUUUUAUAUAGGGAUUGAAAUCCCAAUUCAACUAGGAAAUCCUCAAUUUUAACAGAAUGUAAUAAAAAAAUUUCCCAAG
rnacentral:lncRNA from 1 species